GACGAACGCUGGCGGCGUGCUUAACACAUGCAAGUCGAACGGGCCUUGUCCCCUUUUUUUUUGGGGGUGGGGUUAGUGGCGAACGGGUGAGUAACACGUGAGUAACCUGCCCCUCACUUCUGGAUAACCGCUUGAAAGGGUGGCUAAUACGGGGUGUUCUGGCCUGCUCGCAUGGGUGGGUUUGGAAAGAUUCGACCGGUUUUGGUUGUUUUGGUGGGGGAUGGGCUCGCGGCCUAUCAGCUUGUUGGUGGGGUGAUGGCCUGCCAAGGCUUUGACGGGUAGCCGGCCUGAGAGGGUGGGCGGUCACACUGGGACUGAGACACGGCCCAGACUCCUACGGGAGGCAGCAGUGGGGAAUAUUGCACAAUGGGCGCAAGCCGGAUGCAGCGACGCCGCGUGAGGGAUGGAGGCCGUCGGGUUGUGAACCUCUUUCGCCAGUGAAGAAGGUCCUGCUCUUUGUGGUGGGGUUGACGGUAGCUGGGUUAAUGAAGCGCCGGCUAACUACGUG
rnacentral:rRNA from 1 species